rnacentral:lncRNA from 1 species
UUUUUUUUUUUCGAAUUCCAAAACUAUGAUCAAUUUGGUUGAAAACGUUGUUUGGCCAAAAUAGAAUUUAAGAUUUUCCCGCUUAGUAAUUCUUAUCAUAUAUCAUCAUUUUGUGAAAUAGAUACACGAAUUAAGAAUAAAGAACGAAAUUCUAAAAUUCCAAAAGAAAAGCAUGUUUAUGUAUACAUUGAAUACUAAAAUUCAAAAAACACCUCAUAGAUAUCAAUGCAUCUUGAACAAUAAAUUUUGAUGGAAAAAUGACUACUUAUGCAACGUACAUAUGUGGUGUCAGAUAUUCACUUCAACAAAUUUAGAACAAAAGCUAACUCAGAUGGAGAGUAUAUGUUAUUUUAAGUCAAGUGAAUAUCAUUAUCCCUAGAUCCAUUGAUCCAAUCAAAUAUUACUCAGUUUAGGAGAGUCAAUACAGAUAAUCAAAACUAGAGAUUAAACUUUAAUGACUU